rnacentral:rRNA from 1 species
GACGAACGCUGGCGGCGUGCCUAAUACAUGCAAGUCGAACGAACAGAUUAUACCGUAGCUUGCUACACCAUAGCCGGGGAGUUGCGAACGGGAGAGUAACGCGUAGGUAACAAGCCUGGGAGAGGGGGAUAACUAUUGGAAACGAUAGCUAAUAUCGCAUAAUAUUCAUUAUUCAAUGAUAAUAGAUUGAAUGAUGCAAUUGUAUAGAUACCUGCUGGACCUGCGUUGUAUUAGCUAAUAGGAGAGGUAACGGAGCACACAAGCGGCGAUACAGCGCCGACCUGGAGAGGUUGUCGGCCACACUUGGACUGAGACACGGCCCCGACUCCUUCGGGAGGCAGCAGUAGGGGAUCCUCGGCAAUAGACGGAAGGCUGACCGAGCAACGCCGCGGGAGUGAAGGAGGUUGUCGGAUUGUAAAACUCCUUUGUAUGGGAAGAACGGGUGUUGGAGUUGAAAGUUCACGCUGUGACGGUAUCUAACCAGAAAGGGACGGCUAACUACGUG